AUUGAACGCUGGCGGCAGGCCUAACACAUGCAAGUCGAACGGUAACAGGAAGCAGCUUGCUGCUUCGCUGACGAGUGGCGGACGGGUGAGUAAUGUCUGGGAAGCUGCCUGGUGGAGGGGGAUAACUACUGGAAACGGUAGCUAAUACCGCAUAAUGUCGCAAGACCAAAGAGGGGGACCUUCGGGCCUCUUGCCAUCGGAUGUGCCCAGAUGGGAUUAGCUUGUUGGUGGGGUAACGGCUCACCAAGGCGACGAUCCCUAGCUGGUCUGAGAGGAUGACCAGCCACACUGGAACUAAGACACGGUCCAGACUCCUACGGGAGGCAGCAGUGGGGAAUAUUGCACAAUGGGCGCAAGCCUGAUGCAGCCAUGCCGCGUGUAUGAAGAAGGCCUUCGGGUUGUAAAGUACUUUCAGCGGGGAGGAAGGGAGUAAAGUUAAUACCUUUGCUCAUUGACGUUACCCGCAGAAGAAGCACCGGCUAACUCCGUG
rnacentral:rRNA from 1 species